GGCACAGUUCUGGAAGCUAAGGAAACAGCACUAUGAAUGGAGGUCAGUCAACCAUGCAGCUUCACCAUGAUAUGUUUCAAUGCCAGACUGAUGAUUCUUUGGAUGCUGAGACUGACUUCCAGAACCUCUUCCUGCGAAAUGACUGAUUGAUGUCACUGUCCUGUAUCCAGGGAUUUUCUCAGCAAAUGCAUCCAAGGUGUGAAAUGGAGGCCAGCUGUCCAUCUGUCAUAAG